rnacentral:misc_RNA from 1 species
GAUGAAGAACGUAGCGAAAUGCGAUACUUGGUGUGAAUUGCAGAAUCCCGUGAACCAUCGAGUCUUUGAACGCAAGUUGCGCCCGAAGCCACUAGGCCGAGGGCACGCCUGCCUGGGCGUCACACGCCGUUGCCCCCCCAUCUACUCCUUCGGGAUUGCGGGGGGGCGGAUGAUGGCCUCCUGUGCGCCUAGCCGCGCGGUUGGCAUAAAUACCAAGUCCUCGGCGACGCACGCCACGACCAUCGGUGGUUGCGAAACCUCGGUUGCCCGUCGUGUGCGUUCGUCGCGCAUCGAGGGCUCGAAAAAAUGCUCGGCUCCGGCUGGGCUUUCAACGCGACCCCAGGUCAGGCGGGGUUACCCGCUGAAUUUAAGCAUAUCAAUAAGCGGAGGA